AAGACCGCAGGUAGACCACCUGCUAUAUAGGCAACAAGUGUAAGCGCAGUAAUGUGUUGAGCUAAGUUGUACUAAUGGUCGAGGGCUGAAUCC
rnacentral:rRNA from 1 species